UUUGCUGUGGAUUAGUGUUGCUU
rnacentral:piRNA from 1 species